UACGACUACAUAUCAGGCAUAUCAAUAAGCGGAGGAAAAGAAACUAACAAGGAUUCCCUUAGUAACGGCGAGUGAAGCGGGAAGAGCUCAAAUUUGAAAUCUUCAAGGUUCUACCUUGACGAAUUGUAGUUUAAAGAAGUGUUUUCUGUUAGAUGAGUAGCAAAAGUUCCUUGGAAUGGGACAUCAUAGAGGGUGAGAAUCCCGUAUUUGGUUAUUCAUUCUAGCUUUGUGAUACACUUUCAGAGAGUCGGAUUGUUUGGGAAUGCAGUCCAAAAUCGGGUGGUAAAUUUCAUCUAAAGCUAAAUAUUGGCGAGAGACCGAUAGCGAACAAGUACCGUGAGGGAAAGAUGAAAAGAACUUUGAAAAGAGAGUUAAACAGUACGUGAAAUUGUCAAAAGGGAAGCGUUUGACACCAGUGUUGUUUUUCCGAAAAUCAAUUACGAAUGGCUUGAUUUUGUGUUGUAUUGACCUUAUCAGCUUUCUUCACUUUUUUCGAGUCUUUCUUAAUGCACUUUUCGGUUAACAAGUCAACAUCAAUUUCUUUUGUUGUAAAAGAGUAUUCGGAAGGUGGCUUUCUUUUCGGAGAAAGUGUUUAUAGCCCUAUACUUCUACAAUCGGAGAGAUUGAGGUCUGCAGCGUAGAUCCUUCGGGGUUAGAUACACUUGUGCUAAGUUGUAGCUUUUCAUAGACAACUUGUUGACUAUGUUUAGUCAUGCGGCUUACUCGCUUAUGCUAUUUUACCUACGCUUAGGAUGUUGAGUAGCGACAUACGCAC
rnacentral:rRNA from 1 species